rnacentral:rRNA from 1 species
GGCGAGCGAAAGCGGAUGAGGCUAAACCGAUUGCAUGCCAAGCCGGCAGGCGUUGUGCAGUCGGGGUCGUGGGACGACUCAGUUGGUUCUGCCGAAUCAACGGGGAGUUAGAAAGCCAUGUGUUAGUGGAAGGCCUCUGGAAGGGGUCGCCGUAGAGGGUGAGAGCCCCGUACACGAAAACUCAUGGCCUCCCGAGUUGUAUCCCAAGUAGCACCGAGCCCGUGAAAUUCGGUGUGAAUCUGGCGGGACCACCCGCUAAGCCUAAAUACUCCCUGGUGACCGAUAGCGGACAAGUACCGUGAGGGAAAGGUGAAAAGUACCCCGGGAGGGGAGUGAAAUAGUACCUGAAACCGUGUGCCUACAAGCCGUGAGAGCCUUAUGCGCACUUGUGCGUGGGGGUGAUUGCGUGCCUUUUGAAGAAUGAGCCUGCGAGUUAGCGGUACGUGGCGAGGUUAACCCGUGUGGGG